AACGAACGCUGGCGGCAUGCCUAACACAUGCAAGUCGAACGAGACCUUCGGGUCUAGUGGCGCACGGGUGCGUACCGCGUGGGAACCUGCCCUUAGGUUCGGAAUAACUCCCCGAAAGGGGUGCUAAUGCCGGAUAAUGUCUUCGGACCAAAGAUUUAUCGCCUUUGGAUGGGCCCGCGUUGGAUUAGCUAGUUGGUAGGGUAAAAGCCUACCAAGGCGACGAUCCAUAGCUGGUCUGAGAGGAUGAUCAGCCACACUGGGACUGAGACACGGCCCAGACUCCUACGGGAGGCAGCAGUGGGGAAUAUUGGACAAUGGGCGAAAGCCUGAUCCAGCAAUGCCGCGUGAGUGAUGAAGGCCUUAGGGUUGUAAAGCUCUUUUACCCGGGAUGAUAAUGACAGUACCGGGAGAAUAAGCUCCGGCUAACUCCGUG
rnacentral:rRNA from 1 species